UACGGAGGGUGCAAGCGUUAAUCGGAAUUACUGGGCGUAAAGCGCACGCAGGUGGCUGAGUCAGUCGAUUGUGAAAUCCCCAGGCUUAACCUGGGAACUGCAUUCGAGACUGCAUUGCUAGAGUACGGGAGAGGGAAGUGGAAUUUCCGGUGUAGCGGUGAAAUGCGUAGAUAUCGGAAGGAACAUCAGUGGCGAAAGCGACUUCCUGGACCAAUACUGACGCUCAUGUGCGAAAGCGUGGGGAGCAAACAGG
rnacentral:rRNA from 1 species